CUACGUGCCAGCAGCCGCGGUAAUACGUAGGGUGCGAGCGUUAAUCGGAAUUACUGGGCGUAAAGCGAGCGCAGACGGUUACUUAAGCAGGAUGUGAAAUCCCCGGGCUCAACCUGGGAACUGCGUUCUGAACUGGGUGACUAGAGUGCGUCAGAGGGAGGUAGAAUUCCACGUGUAGCAGUGAAAUGCGUAGAGAUGUGGAGGAAUACCGAUGGCGAAGGCAGCCUCCUGGGAUAACACUGACGUUCAUGCUCGAAAGCGUGGGUAGCAAACAGGAUUAGAUACCCUGGUAGUCCACGCCCUAAACGAUGUCAAUUAGCUGUUGGGCAACUUGAUUGCUUAGUAGCGUAGCUAACGCGUGAAAUUGACCGCCUGGGGAGUACGGUCGCAAGAUUAAAACUCAAAGGAAUUGACGGGGACCCGCACAAGCGGUGGAUGAUGUGGAUUAAUUCGAUGCAACGCGAAGAACCUUACCUGGUCUUGACAU
rnacentral:rRNA from 1 species